rnacentral:rRNA from 1 species
CCCUUAGACGUUCUGGGCCGCACGCGCGCUACACUGACCAGUGCAACAAGCAUCCGUCCUUGGCCGACAGGCCCGGGCAAUCUUUGAACGCUGGUCGUGAUGGGGAUAGACUUUUGCAAUUUUUGGUCUUCAACGAGGAAUUCCUAGUAAACGCAAGUCAUCAACUUGCAUUGAUUACGUCCCUGCCCUUUGUACACACCGCCCGUCGCACCUACCGAUUGAAUGGUCCGGUGAAGCCUCCGGAUUGGCGCGCACCUCGGUGCCGCCGAGAAGUUGGCUAAACCUUNCNAUUUAUNGGAAAGUGAANUCGUANCA